rnacentral:lncRNA from 1 species
UUCAUAAAACUCUUUGAUGUGUGUGCUUUUGUGCUAUGGAAUCCUAUGAGAGUUCAAAUUGAAGAACCAUUGCCAUGUUCAUCCAAAGUGAAAGAUACCAGAGCCAUUGGGGAUCUUCUAAGAGCUUGCUUGAUUAAUUUGACUGCUUGAGCUUACACUUAUUUUGCUUGCAUAUUCCAAAGGAUGUGAGCUACUUAGAUCAUCAAUAUGAUCUCAAGAGAGGAACUCCAUUUGUG